rfam:Toxocara canis scaffold383, whole genome shotgun sequence.
CGGGCAAUAGCUCAGUGGUAGACCUCCCGUUUCAUUUGCGGGAAGGCCUGGGUUCGAUUCCCGGCUGCUCAU